rnacentral:rRNA from 1 species
GGAGGGUGCAAACGUUGCUCGGAAUUAUUGGGCGUAAAGCGCGCGCAGGCGGCUUGGCAAGUCAAAUGUGAAAGCCCUCGGCUUAACCGAGGAAUUGCAUUUGAAACCGCUUGGCUUGAGUACGGGAGAGGGUGACGGAAUUCCCGGUGUAGAGGUGAAAUUCGUAGAUAUCGGGAGGAACACCAGUGGCGAAGGCGGUCACCUGGACCGAUACUGACGCUCAGUGUGCGAAAGCGUGGGGAGCAAACAGGAUUAGAUACCCUGGUAGUCCACGCUGUAAACGAUGGGCACUAGGUGUCGCGGGUAUUGACCCCCCUGCGGUGCCGCAGCUAACGCGUUAAGUGCCCCGCCUGGGGAGUACGGCCGCAAGGUUA